ACACACAUGUUAAGUAAGCC
rnacentral:piRNA from 1 species